GACGAACGCUGGCGGCGUGCUUAACACAUGCAAGUCGAACGGAAAGGCCCUGCUUUUGUGGGGUGCUCGAGUGGCGAACGGGUGAGUAACACGUGAGUAACCUGCCCUUGACUUUGGGAUAACUUCAGGAAAUUGGGGCUAAUACCGGAUAGGAGCUCCUGCUGCAUGGUGGGGGUUGGAAAGUUUCGGCGGUUGGGGAUGGACUCGCGGCUUAUCAGCUUGUUGGUGGGGUAGUGGCUUACCAAGGCUUUGACGGGUAGCCGGCCUGAGAGGGUGACCGGCCACAUUGGGACUGAGAUACGGCCCAGACUCCUACGGGAGGCAGAAGUGGGGAAUAUUGCACAAUGGGCGGAAGCCUGAUGCAGCAACGCCGCGUGCGGGAUGACGGCCUUCGGGUUGUAAACCGCUUUCGCCGGUGACGAAGCGUGAGUGACGGUAAUGGGUAAAGAAGCACCGGCUAACUACGUG
rnacentral:rRNA from 1 species